rnacentral:miRNA from 1 species
UAUUAUGCACAUUUUCUGGCGUA